rnacentral:lncRNA from 15 species
AUGCAGAGCCAUCAUUCUAUAAGGCUGCUUCAGUUCAUAUACAGCUGCUUUAUUACAGGUAUUACAGAGGGACUGUCUGUCUGUAUCUGUCUGUCUGUUACCAGCAGUUUGCUGUGCUCCUCCAGCAGUCUGUCGUACUCCACCGUCAGAUUCUCCGCCUGUUUCUUCAUCGCACGAACGUCACUGUCGGACUUCUGCAGCUUUCUUGGUGGUGUCCAGCUCCUCCUUCAGAGUCUUCACCUCCUCUUUCAGAUUCUUGUUCUCCUCCUGCGGUCCGGCUCCCUUCUUCCCGGCCUCUGGCACCUCGACACCGGCGUCACGGAGUUUCUGUUGAAAACCAACAACAGCGUGUUAAUAUUUCACUUUGUUAACUCAUGUUUGUCCAAACUAAAUCCACAGAAACUCAUUUAAAGUUUCAGUAUAGAUCUGAAAGAAAUCCUCCUGGAUUCAGGAGAACAAUGUGUGUGAAAUGAUGCAGAACAUAAAUAUCAGUUCAGCCAUAAAAAAAAAAAUGGAAUAUUUCACUAAAACUUUACAGGCUGUAUAGAAACAUUAAUAUAUCAGCUAACAUUAUAUUCUCUAUAUACAGAGUCACAUGGUGUCUCUCUCCCUCUGCCUGUGUUGUAUCGCAGCCUCUCUGUGGUUUGUUUCCAUAGCCGGUCUGCUCCGACUGAAACUGCUGUUUUUAUCAUCUACGUCGGUGAAUUAAGGAUUUAUUUCCACCAAUCCAGAGUUGGUGAUUGUUGGAAACACUAAGAGACGGUUCUGGUGUUUUACGUUUAUCUGCUGGGUUUUGGUCAAUGAUGGUGUUGUGAUGAAGGUAAAAUGUGACAAAUCUUGUUCUCUAUGCAAAUCAUCAUUCCCACAUUAAUCACAUCAAAAUAUCUACUAAAACAAAAACAAUAUGAUGUUUUUACUGUAUCCUGCAGCCCUCAUUUAAACUCCUGUGAGGCUGCUGCUGAAGUUGGUUUCUGGCUGGGUUGGCUCCGCCCACUCAGAGACCAACAGGUGUUCAUACCAAACGUGUGUGUGUGUGUGUGUGUGUGUGUGUGUGUGUGUGUGUGUGUGUGUGUGAGAGAGAGAGAGAGAGAGAGAGGAGGAGCGCUUGGUAUUCACACCUGUCUAUGUCAGUGUCACUAUGAAGCAAAGGUAGAUGUGGAGAGUUUAAACAUGGAGACAUUUUUGGGAAUAAUUCAUCUGAAAGUCAGUUAUCACUCUGUGCUCAGUUAAGAUACUGAAACAGAAACAUACUGAGGUGUGACCGAAGAUGAAAGAGAUUUCUGGCUUUAUAGUAAAAACUUUUCCUGAAGGUCUGAAAAAAUUAAAAUCCUGUUUUUUAUUAAAUCACCAAUAUUAAAUGAUGUUAAAUCUCUCAUCCACAUAGUGAAGUCAGGAUGAGGCUGAAACCGCUCAGAUAUCAGGAAACAAAGUCAGAAAAUAAAAGAAGUCAUCGGACUGAAGCAGGUAAACUAACUUUAGCUGCUAUAGAGUUGUGACGGAGUGAAACAGGUGCUGAGCUCCAGACCUUUGACUGGGCAGGCUCGGCCAUAAAACCUGAUUUUACUGCUCUGAACUGAAUCCAGCAGCACGAGGUCUCGGUUCAGAGAGGCCACAAGGAGCCUCACUGAGCCAGAACAACACAGCAGCCACUGACCACAGAGCUCCAUCAAUGCCUCCGCAACGCUUUCUGAUCUGUUGCUCCCACACAGUCAGUUACUGUGCACUCUGAUCAGAACAUGCAACAAUUAAUCAAUAUGGUCGAUUAACAGAAAGUGCUUCAGUCAACCUAAAACGACCAUCCAAUCUCUAUCCUCUGCGUCUCUCGGUUCAGUAUCUAGAGUGAAAAUGAUUAAAGCUGCGGUAGGUAAGAUUUGUUAAAAAAGUAUUAAGUAUAAAGUAGGAUCUUGUAGCCAUGGUAACGUAUAUGCAAAUGAGCAUGUGAGCGAGAGCACUGAUGCAUCAGAAUAAGGCUGUGCAAUAUGAAACACGUCACAUUACAGCACACACUGUGUAUAUAAAGUUACUCAACUCAUUAACAAGGUAUCAAAUAUAAAUAAUGUCUCCAACACAGACUUUACUGAGGCGUCACCACGUAUUUUAAAGCUUCCUUAAGCUUUUCUAGGGCUUCCCCAAAUAUUUGACUUGUUAUCAGAGGAUUGUUGCAACAGGGACCUUUUCUCUUGUAACACAGGAAGUCUCUGAUCGCUGCACUGCUACAUAUGCUAACUGUACUAGCUGCUGUUAGCUAGUUAGCGGUCCUAUUAGCUGUCUGUACCCGGACUGGAAGCUGCAAGGACGGGGGGGGGGGGGGAUACUGCCGGGGAGCGGGGCCCGAAUGAGCCACAGAACCGGAGCGGAGCCCGAAUGAGCCACAGAACCGGAGCGGGGCGGACCGACGGAGGCCGGCUGAUGUCCAGCGGCUCCGACCAGGACUCUGACUCAGGGGAUGAAGACUCGGCAGGUUCAGGCAGCGACAGGAGAGGAAGAGGAGGAAGAGGAGCCAGUUUGUAGCUAGUUAAUUAUCAGUAACUGUUAAUGUUAUCCAUCAUCCAUCGUAUCGAUCAGUCUGAUCAGUUUCAGUGAAGUUGGGAGUUAUUGAACAACCAGACUGUGUGAUGUUACACUGUGUUACUGCUUGUUCUGAUUCACAAUCAUUACUGCUGGUUAACAGGUUCUAAUCAAUACAGUGAUAUCAGAAACAUGAUGACUAGUCCACUAUUGGCUUUAACUAUUGAUUACUAUAACUCUUAUUCUGGGACAGCCCUAAUAUAAACCUUCAAUACAUUUCAGUAUAUACAGAUGAUAAGUUUCAGCAAAUAUGACAAAAAUAUUUGUUAUAAGUAUAAUCCACUGCUGCUUUAAUCAAUUAUAUAUCAACUAUUUGAAUAAUGGUCUCAAAAUGUUUUCUUCUACAAUCUGAAAUGAAAAUAAUAUUUUCUGUUUUUCUGGAUCAAACAACCGGACAGAGCAGCAGAGCAGUCCAUAUUUAUUUACGUAAGAUCCUUCGAUUCUCAUAUCAAGUGAAACAAACUGCAAACUGAGUGCAGAUCUCUGCAGUCUGGGGACAAGUGGGGGGUGUUUAACAGAGUGCAGGGCAGGUUGUAUGCAUGAGACUGGGUUCCUACUGUUUCUGAGAAAUCAUUUUCCAUUUUUUCUUGACAAAAUAGGAAAGCACAAACAAACAGUCAUAUAACUGACCAGUGGGCCCAGUACGGACACAUUUAACAGUUUAUACAACGAAGUGUCU